GGACAAACGAAGGACCCGAACGCGGAUCGUGAAUCUCAAACGCGCGGCCCCCGCCCCUCCCCCGUAGCCACAACACGAACAGGGACCUGGACCUGCAACUGCAACUGCGCACCCAGUGGUUACCGGAGACAGGAGAAGCUCAGGAACCAGAAGACCGCUGGUGUUGGCAAUCACUGGAACCAGGAACAAGGAGAAGGCUGAAAACAUCAUUAUGCAAUCCUGAAUGCAAAGCAGCUUGCCAAAUGAAUCCAAAUGGAUAUGAGAUAGUCUGGUAAUGGAAGAGUUCACAGCUGUGCUUUGAAAGAUAAACGGCAGCAUUACUGUGCAGUUUGGUCUUAGUUUAAGAAUGUAAGAUGGAAUCUCAGUUAAAUGCAAAUCAGCUGUAGACUUAAGUAGUGUUGUUCUUGAUUAAGUCUGUUUAAUCAGUCUGAAUGGUAAAUAGCUGACUUGUAUUUCAUCCUAUUAUAAUGAACUAAAACCUCAGGUAUGAGAACACAUGCUGACAUGUUAUCAGUCUGACUGGCAUGAGAGUAAAUAUCUCCUAUCCUAUAGGGGGUGUUUUGUGUUCUAAUGUCUAAUUUCAAUGUGGAAAUUAAAACUAGGAUAAAUUGGUAAUGGUUUAUAAGCUAUAAGAUUUUUAAAAUAGACUAACUGUGUUUGCUAAAAUUUAAACCUAAUUUUGUAAAUGUUUGUGGAUAUCAUAAAUAAGACUAAGAUUCUGUCAUAGUUAUUUUUAGUAAAAGUCACAGACAGGUCACAGGACAGGCAAUAAACAAAGAUUCAUGGAAGCCGUGACC